GCGUUUGGGUGAAGACGGAGGCGGGUUCUGGACAGACGUACGCUGUCAGGGAGUGUUUACUUUGCCUCCACUUCUGUUCCUCCCCGCCCUGGUGCUGCUCCGGGUCACAUACUCGUCCUGAGCCGGCUUCAGCCUCUCCGCGCAGAAGUGUCCCGGAGCCAUGGCCGAGUACUCUUAUGCGAAGUCUACCAAGCUUGUGCUCAAGGGAACCAAGACGAAGAGGUGGGUCCUGCACCUCCGGCGGGAGCCUCCUCAGUUCUUUUCGGACGCACUCCACCCCCCUCGAAUCCGGUGGAAGCCGUGGCGCGGAGAGCCGGCUUUGUGGCCUCCCAGGCUUCGCCCUGGCCCCUGUCCGGGCUGGACGGAGGCCGGACCGCAGUUCCUGGCGCCUGUGCAGAGAGGGGCAGCCUCCCGCACUGACGACCCUGGAAACAGGAUAGACGGGCGGGUGACCCGUGGCCCCGUACCCACGAGUUUCAGUCCUCUGAGGCAUCUCUGCAGGCCUCUGCCUGUAAGAAGAAAAAGAGCAAAGAGAAGAAGAGAAAAAGAGAAGAAGAUGAAGAAACCCAGUUUGAUAUGUUGG
rnacentral:lncRNA from 1 species